AACUCAACGGCCAAUACGGGACUCAUCCUGACUGGAAAUACGUGGGAACGAUACGUCUCGUGAAAACUCUGUGUACCGCGAUAGAUUUUAUGUUCUUCAAUCUGUUUGUGAAGCUCGUUCCCGGACAGAGCUAAAUAUUUCUUACGGAUCGAAUCCCAAUCGACUACGCUUUCGAGUCUUGUAGCACUAUUGAAAGACAAUUGACUUCCAAGAGGACUCAAGUGCACCACGGACAAGGUUACACUGUCUUUCGGUCUGACUUGACCUUUCUUCACUUUGGCCAGCCACUUCGCGCCCAUCUUCGAUCUAGCGUGUUGCCUGCACACUUUGAUGAAAUACACGAUCCAAGUAGUGAGCAAGUUAAGAGGCGAUGGGGCGGUGGUCGUUCUGCAACACGGAAUCGUGUGUCCAGCCUAUCCCACAGAUUCGUUUCACGAAAAAGAACUACACG